GCACUGCUGAGGAGUCCCGUACUGGGACGAAACAGCCGUCCAGUAC
rnacentral:hammerhead_ribozyme from 1 species